UCCUCUCUGUAAAAAAUCAAUAAAAUAAAAAAAAGACCAACAAAAGAAACUGACUGACGGAUGAAUAAAGAAGUCACUAAGCAGUGACACACUACCCGAGUUAUGCUCAGUUUUUUGGCGAAGUUUGACACACCAAGCUCAAAAGGUUGCCCAUCACUGGCGUAGAACAUGUGAGCAUCGGCUGCGGCAGGAUGGUGGAGCAGGAUCGGCCUUCAGAUCCCCCUGAAGACCACCUGCUUCGUGUUCUGCUUCCUCGUGGAUCAUUCGGGAAGGCAAAGGUUUCUUCCACGCCCAAUGCCUGAGGCUUCUGCCGUAUCCAGUGUUAGCAACAGGUGUCAAGGGGGAAGCCUGUGGAAGCCUGUAGCUACUCUCCAUAAAGACGUGUCAGAAA